rnacentral:lncRNA from 1 species
ACGAAAAACUGGAUGAACAACUGAUAGAUCAGGGGAAAAGCCAACUCAUAAGCCACAUCACCAAUAGUCUGAAGAAUCUCAAAUGGACCAAUAUACCUGGGGCUAAGCUUUUCCCUCUUCCUAAAACCCAUCACACCCUUCAUGGGUGAAACUCGAAUGAAAACACGAUCACCAACACCAAAUCUCAAGGCAUAAAGUCUAUGAUCAGCAUUGCACUUCUGCCUACUCU